AUAGAGACUCAGAGCUGCAUAUCAAUAAGCGGAGGAAAAGAAACUAACUAGGAUUCCCUCAGUAACGGCGAGUGAAGCGGGAAGAGCUCAAAUUUGAAAUCUUCAAGGUUCUACCUUGACGAAUUGUAGUUUAAAGAAGUGUUUUCUGUUGGAGUUUUGGUAAAAGUUCUUUGGAAUAGGACAUCAUAGAGGGUGAGAAUCCCGUAUUUGACCAUUAUUUCCAGCUUUGUGAUACACUUUCAAAGAGUCGGAUUGUUUGGGAAUGCAGUCCAAAAUGGGUGGUAAAUUUCAUCUAAAGCUAAAUAUUGGCGAGAGACCGAUAGCGAACAAGUACCGUGAGGGAAAGAUGAAAAGAACUUUGAAAAGAGAGUUAAACAGUACGUGAAAUUGUCAAAAGGGAAGCGUUUGACACCAGUGUUGUUUUCUCGAAUAUCAAUUAAAAAAGGCUGGAUUUUGUGUUGUAUUGACUUUAUCAGCUUUCUGCACUCUUUUCUUGUCUUUUUUAAUGCACUUUUCGUUUAACAAGUCAACAUCAAUUUCUUUUGUUGUAAAAGGGUCAUUGGAAGGUGGCUUUCUUUUCGGAGAAAGUGUUUAUAGCCUUUGGCCUCUGCAAUCGGAGAGAUUGAGGUCUGCAGCGUAGAUCCUUCGGGGUUAGAUACAGUUAGAUGCUAAGUUAUAGCCUUUUCAUAGACAACUUGUUGACUAUAAUCAUCAUGUAGCUUACUCGCUUAUGCUAUUUUACCUACGCUUAGGAUGUUGACGAUCAGCUGAGCGCG
rnacentral:rRNA from 1 species